AAUUUAGGUGUUCAAGGGGUACCAACUCUUCUCUUUUUUAUUUCACAAAAAAUUAUCAUAACAUUAUUAAUCAAAUUUAUGAAUCUUCCUAAAUAAUCUAAAGAGUUUUGAUUCAAAAUACAUAUAUACACUGGUAGUUUCAGCGACAAAUAAAUUUCAGUGGUAGUUUCUCUUCAGAAGAGUGGUGGUCAGAUUAGAGUCCUUUGACCUUCAAUUUCAUCUGUUCGUUUCUUCAUUGUUUCUGAUUUUCCAUACCUGCUGAACCAUGCAUGGUGAAGUUAUUAAUUUGGUGAAGUUUGCUGAUUUAAGGCAUGUCAUGCGGAGCAUAGGUUCCCUCUUUUUAUCCAAGAAGAAGCAACAUUACCAGUGAAGUUAUUAGUGUAGGUGAGCUAGUUAAAUGUUAGCAUAGUGACAUCAUACAUUCUUUACGAGGAUGCUUGGAUUGAAAGGCCUUUCUUAUGGGGGGAGCUGUGAAACUUCCUGCAAGUUGUAAAUAUUUUAUAUAGAUGUCAAAAAUCUGUGCAGUUGCAAAAACAGGUUUUCUGAGGCUGGUUAAGUGCUGACUAGAGAUUAGAAGACAUUUUAGUUACAGGAAUUGGAUAUUUGGAAAGGAAAUUUGAAAGAAGUUUCAUUAUGUCAUUUAAUGCUUGUGAGAGAGCUUGGACUGUCAAACCAAAAAUAGAUAAUUAAAUCUUAAUACUGCAUGUAAGACCUGGUAGCUUUUUAAGUACGAUUGGAUUUAUGAAGUUUCAUGUCGAGUGACCACAAUUUCAUGGUUGAGCUCAACUCUUCAUGCUGCAGGGCAACAAUUUCCAGCUAAUCAAAAUAUUGGUGUUCAAAAUCACAUGUUUCCCCAGGGAAUACCGCUUCAAUUGGCUACUGCAGGGCACCAAGUUCCAGCUAUUCAAAAUUUUGGUGUUCAGGGUUACAUUUUUCCCCAGGGAAUACCGUUUCAAUUGGUUGGUAAGGCAUUCACUCUAUUCUUACAGCUCUAUCCUAUCAAGCUGUAUCUGCCAUAUUGAAACAGCAUCUGACUCUUCCUUGCAAGAUAGUGAUUUGGACAUCUUGCCUGGUGGAUUUUUCUUUGGUCCACUUAUUAAAGUAUGAUAUGGUGAAUAGCUGUUCUACAUCUUUAUAUUAGGAUAAGUCAUUCAGUCUCUCUUGGAAAAGCACUGUUGCUGCACACUGAAUUGCAAUUUCCAGUUACAAUGAUAUGUUCAAUUCUCCUAUUUCUAAUACGUAUUAGAAUUUUGGAGAAAAUAUUAACUUUUAUUACCCUCUUUAAUUAGUAAAACCCAUUGUUGUUAUUCCAAGAAUUACUUUACAGGAAACAAAUUGUAAUCUCUCAUCAAGAGAAUCUAGAAUAAUCAACACAAACUUGUAGAUGUGGCAAUUAGAACAUCUAAAUUUCAUGGAAAUUAUAGGUUUCACUGAAACUCUGGUUCAACCUCUAGUAGGAGGAAUGCUUGCUUGCUGAAUUAAAUGUUCAAGAACUUUUUAUGCAUAUUUGCAUUUUUCUGAUAGCAGGGAUAGUACAUGUCAAGUUGCUGA